rnacentral:rRNA from 1 species
CCUACGGGAGGCAGCAGUGGGGAAUAUUGGACAAUGGGGGCAACCCUGAUCCAGCAACGCCGCGUGGGGGAUGAAGGUCUUCGGAUUGUAAACCCCUGUUAAGAGGGACGAAGGCUUUCGGGCGAACAGUCCGGAAGCUUGACGGUACCUCUAGAGGAAGCCCCGGCUAACUCUGUGCCAGCAGCCGCGGUAAUACAGAGGGGGCGAGCGUUAUUCGGAAUUAUUGGGCGUAAAGGGCGCGUAGGCGGUCUCGUGCGUCAGGGGUGAAAUCCCCGGGCUUAACCCGGGACGUGCCUCUGAUACGGCGAGACUUGAGUCCGGGAGAGGGGAGCAGAAUUCCCAGUGUAGCGGUGAAAUGCGUAGAUAUUGGGAGGAAUACCAGUGGCGAAGGCGGCUCCCUGGACCGGUACUGACGCUGAGGCGCGAAAGCGUGGGUAGCAAACAGGAUUAGAUACCCUGGUAGUCCACGCCGUAAACGAUGGGUGCUUGGUGUCGGGGGUAUCGACCCCUCCGGUGCCGAAGCUAACGCAUUAAGCACCCCGCCUGGGGAGUACGGUCGCAAGGCUGAAACUUAAAGGAAUUGACGG